rnacentral:rRNA from 1 species
UACGUAGGUGGCAAGCGUUGUCCGGAUUUACUGGGCGUAAAGAGCGCGCAGGCGGUCGUUCAAGUCGCGUGUGAAAGCCCCCGGCUCAACUGGGGAGGGUCACGCGAUACUGAUCGACUGGAAGGCAGGAGAGGGUAGUGGAAUUCCCGGUGUAGUGGUGAAAUGCGUAGAUAUCAGGAGGAACACCGAUGGCGAAGGCAGGUCUCUGGGCAUUAACUGACGCUGAGGAGCGAAAGCAUGGGGAGCGAACAGG